rnacentral:lncRNA from 1 species
GUUAACAUAUACCUCCAGAUCUCUAAAAAUCAAAGAUUAAAUACUGAAAUUGAAUACAAAGAUGAAGAGAGAAAAUUCCCUAAAGGGUGGCAGGCAAAGGAUUUCCGUCUACAUCUAAGAGCAGUGUUUCAAUUUGUCUCCCAACUCCAAGCACUGUACUUGGAAGAAGAUAUUGCUUCAUAACUGCUGAAUGAAUUAGUGAAUCAUUGUGAACAAGGAGUCUGCUCAAAAGUUGCCCAAUCUCAGUUGCUGUUGGAUUUCAUACUAGAGAG